GGGAGCAGGCCGGAUCCUUGGCUGUGUCCCCGGUGCCCUGUGCUCCUGGGCCUGCGCUGUUGGAUUCGUGCUCCAGGACGCGCAGCCCUCU
rnacentral:pre_miRNA from 1 species